rnacentral:rRNA from 1 species
UACGUAGGGUGCAAGCGUUAAUCGGAAUUACUGGGCGUAAAGCGUGCGCAGGCGGUUUUGUAAGUCUGACGUGAAAUCCCCGGGCUCAACCUGGGAAUUGCGUUGGAGACUGCAAGGCUAGAAUCUGGCAGAGGGGGGUAGAAUUCCACGUGUAGCAGUGAAAUGCGUAGAAGAUGUGGAGGAACACCGAUGGCGAAGGCAGCCCCCUGGGUCAAGAUUGACGCUCAUGC